rnacentral:rRNA from 1 species
AUAGAUUAAGUUAUUAAGGGCGCACGGUGGAUGCCUUGGCACUAGAAGCCGAUGAAGGACGUUACUAACGACGAUAUGCUUUGGGUAGCUGUAAGUAAGCGUUGAUCCAGAGAUUUCCGAAUGGGGGAACCCAACAUGAGUUAUGUCAUGUUAUCGACAUGUGAAUUCAUAGCAUGUCAGAAGGCAGACCCGGAGAACUGAAACAUCUUAG